rnacentral:rRNA from 1 species
UACGUAGGGGGCGAGCGUUACCCGGAUUCACUGGGUGUAAAGGGAGCGUAGACGGCCAAGCAAGCCAGGGGUGAAAGCCCGGGGCCCAACCCCGGGACUGCCCUUGGAACUGCAUGGCUGGAGUGCGGGAGGGGCAGGCGGAAUUCCUGGUGUAGUGGUGAAAUGCGUAGAUAUCAGGAGGAACACCGGCGGCGAAGGCGGCCUGCUGGACCGCGACUGACGUUGAGGCUCGAAAGCGUGGGGAGCGAACAGG